UUAACGGCCGCGGUAGCCUGACCGUGCUAAGGUAGCGUAAUUCCUUGCCUUCUAAUUAAAGGCCAGUCAACGGUCAAACGUGAGUUAAGCUGUCUCCUGCGGUUUCAAUGGAAAUUUUCCUUUAAGUGAAAAGACUUAAAUACAACUGAGUGACGAGAAGACCCCGUAGAGUUUUAUUAAAGGCUAGUGUUACCAAACCUAGCAACUAGCCGCUUAAUUUAAUUGGGGCAAUUAGAGAAAAAAAGAAACUUCUCUCACUAAAAAACAUUCUAGUAUAAAGCGCUAACAAAUAAUUUAAGGAGAAACUACCUCGGGGAUAACAGCAUAAUUUUACUGGAGAGUACACAUUAAUAGUAAAGAUUAUGACCUCGAUGUUGGAUUAAACAACCCCAAGGGACGUAGGGGUCUUACUGGGGGGUCUGUUCGACCCUUAAAAUUUUAC
rnacentral:rRNA from 1 species